UACAGAGGGGGCCAGCGUUAUUCGGAAUUAUUGGGCGUAAAGCGCGUGUAGGCGGCUUUGCAAGUCGGGUGUGAAAGCCCUCGGCUCAACCGAGGAAGUGCGCCCGAAACUGCAGAGCUUGAGUACCGGAGAGGAUGGCGGAAUUCCCCAAGUAGAGGUGAAAUUCGUAGAUAUGGGGAGGAACACCGGUGGCGAAGGCGGCCAUCUGGACAGAAACUGACGCUGAGACGCGAAAGCGUGGGGAGCAAACAGG
rnacentral:rRNA from 1 species